rnacentral:ncRNA from 1 species
UGAUUGAUGAGGUGUAUGACAAUUCAUGGAUCAGAUGUAGGAAGCAAUAAUUGAAUCGGGAUAGCAUGCAUAGGGCUUAAGAUCAGGGCGAAAGGUGUAGUCAAUGGACAACAAGUGAAUAUUCUUAUACUAACCCUUGUUGGUCUCGAGGGACGGAGGAGGCUAGGUUAGCCGAAAGGUGGUUUAUCGGUUCAAGAAAACAAGGUAACCUUUCUUUUUUUCUCAAGGUAAGAAGGCCUAGAGGAAAUGCCACGAGCCAAUGUCCAAGUACCAGGCACCACGGUGCUUAAGUAACCCAUGCCAUACUCCUAGGAAAAACUCGAACACAGGUGGGUUGGUAGAUAAUACCUAGGGGCACAAGACAACUCUCUCUAAGGAACUCGGCAAAAUAGCCCCGUAACUUCGGGAGAAGGGGUGCUUCCUCACAAAGGGGGUCGCAGUGACCAGGCCCUGGCGACUGUUGACCAAAAACAUAAGUCUCCGCAAAGUCAUAAGACCAUGUAUGGGGGCUAACGCCUGCCUAGUAUCGAAAGGUCAAGGAAGUCGGUGACCUGAUGAUAAGGGAGUCGGAGACCGAAGCACCGCUGAACAGCUGUCAUAACUGUAAUGGUCCUAGGGUAGCAAAAUUCCUUAUCAGAUAAGUCCGACCUGCAUGAAAGGCAUAACGAUUUGGGCAUUGUCUAGGAGAGAGGCUUGGUGAAAU